rnacentral:lncRNA from 1 species
CAUCACUUGAAAAAAAUGGGUAGAUACAUUCUCUGUUGCCCUGGAGGCAGAGUUAUUGGAAGGCGCAAGGAAGCAGAUUUCAGUUUAAGAUGGGAAAGAACUUUCCUAUUAGUUCACUGCUAAAAUUGCUGCCUUGCGAAGAAAUGAACUUCUGAUCCCUGGAAUUGUUCUAACAGCUGUUUUAAAAUGUAGGUUUUAUUAUUAUUCAGGUAUGGUGAGCCGACAGAUCAAGAGAUGAUUGCCGUUGAAAAAGAUAAUUUCUUACAGUUCCCAAGAGAAGAGGGUACACCACGCCACACAGGGACACACAGUAGUCACGAGAUUGCUUUACCAACGCAGCAGAUAAGUGAACACAGCAGGUCAGCAGUCACAAGGUGAAAAGGUGAAUUGAAAAAAGCACAAGGAAGAGCAGUAAAGUGACCCAGAGACAGUGGGCCAUUGGACACAUGGGCCUGUCAAUCUGAAAGUCAAGGCUGAGGAAGAAUAUUAUCCAAAUCUGUAAAAUCAUGGUGAGUAUGGGUGGGUAGGUGACCUUGGACUUGCUUAUCAAAUUCCUGAACACUAAAAAUUAAGGCAGCAACCUUUGGAACUUAAAAAAGGAAUAUUUAGAGGCAAAAAGUUUUAUGUUAUUUUCAUGCUGUGUAAGAAAGGGAUUUUUCCACCCAGAGGUGUAUAGGAAGACAUAAUUUUGAAACUGACUUGUUAAGCAAGAAGGCAUCUUAGACACCAUUUGACCAAAUUGGUGCUUCACACAUGGAGAAAGUGGCCCGAGGGAGAUGAGGUGUCUUGGCCAAAGUGACAUAGUUAGCAAAAUCCAGGUAAUUCAGCAUUAGUUAAACAAAUAUAAGCACGCACUGUCAGGCACUGUAUAAAGUUUAUUCUAUCCUGCCAUGUGAUUACAUAAAUCCGUUAACCAUUUCUAAAGGUUUCUAAAGGAUUUUUGAUAGAAGCCAGAAAUUUAGGCAUAUAUCUUUUAUAAUGUUGACAGCAUGAAAGACUGUUUAGCAAUCCUACAAAACAUAUCCUCUUGCAACUGUCUGAGACAGAGCAAAGGCCAGGA